GGGUAAGGCUAGGGGGUCACCUGAUUCAUUCACCUGACGUGUCAUUCACGUGACCUGUUGUAGCAGGUAGAUAGCUACCGGGUUGCAGGCCCUUUGUUAAAAUUGAAUGGCGCGGCAAACACAGUGGUGAGGGCACUGUUUUGCGGGUGGAUUUUUGGCCGGCGGUGAUUUAACAGAGCGGUACACUGCAGUCAUCCUGCCCGUUUGCUCCCCUGGGCUUUUGUGCAACAUUAUCUGCAGUUCGCUUGGAUUUGUUGGUUCCGAGCAAGAGGUCAGCCGACUAAAUGCGUGCAGUUGCGGGGGAUUUUAAAGAGGAACGACCUGUAGCCACUGUUUUUCCCACCACCAUUGAUUGUGUAGCCUAUCAUGUAUUGUGAUGCCUUACCUAAACCGACGAUAUAGUGGUAUCGUAACUCCCCCUAUUUCCACCGGUCCCGUAUUUCCACCGUCUUGCGUGUAUGUGUCACUUAAUAUCCAUUUCUAAACAAACCAAGACAGCGGACUCCUAUAGAAACGCAACCACCCACAACAUAGGUGUAUCUAAAUUAGCCAACCCAGUCUCACGUCUGAACGUGUCACUGUCACGUUAAUUAAUCUAUUGGGACGUGUUGUGUAACACGUUUCCUUGUUAAAAAACGUGUUGAGCAGGACGUAAUUAUCGUGUUACUAUCACGUUGUAUUUCGCUUUCAGCCAGAACCACGUCAUCUGUCAAAAAAGCCCGACCCAAAAUGGCGAGAAUGUUAUUUGAUGCUUUUGACGUGCAGUUUCAUACUCUUAAGCCUGCUUUGAGUUGUGGGUUAGAAGGAGCCACCUUCUAGCUAGCAGUUUUAGAAGGCUGAACCCCAGAAUCCAGAAACAAGAACCGAGCAGGGACGGAGAAAAGAGAAGAAUCCAAAUGGGAAAUGAGAUAAGGCCUCUUCAUUUUCAUCUGUGAAGGAUCUACAUGGACUUGGUCUGGAUAGCCUUUCCUGUUUUGAUGAGCCAGUCGGGUCUAUAGGAGAAACCCUAUAUGAGCCCCAGGAUUUUAUGAGGUAUGUAAACGUUCGAAAAACGCAGAAGAGCCCCGUAUAAGAGCCCCAGUGUGAUAGGCUGGUUGCUGUCAUGUGACACACGCCACCACAAGAAAGCGGAAACACAUUGUAGAGCCGUGUGGGGUAAGAUCCUUGCUCCUGAUAUCCCGAUGUAUGGGUUGCACUUCAUUAUAUGACUCCAACAGAACACUCACAGAAAGGAGAGUAGUAUCAAACUACAAGACAGCCAGCAUCUGUGUUAUGGAGUGCAUCCUCACAUCAUGGUCUACUGCAGCGGUGGAUACAGAGGACAAUUGGCAGGUUGUCAGCUGUUUGGUUAUCCCCAAAGCAGAAAGACAUGCCAGGAAGGAGCAAGGCAAAGCCCGGGGAUUUUUCUGCAGCUGUUCCUGCCCGUUAUAGAAGGACUGCUCCUGAGAAUAGAUGGGUGUCUACAUCGUUUUGCAAAAUGGGUCUUCUACACAUGAUGUUUGUCAAGCACUGCUCAUUGACUGGCCAGGGGUCCUCUGUAUUGUGACCACUGGUCAAAGGCGCCACAUGACUGUCUCAAAGUCCUCUACAUCAUUCCGGUGACGGGACUUCUGGCCUAGUCUGACAGGAUGGGUCUUGUGUUACUGUGACCAGACGGCUCAACAAUGCAUCAUUCUCAUCCAUGCCCUUAUCGCCUCAAGACUGGAGUACAGCAUUCUCUAUGGUCUUGAAAAAUAUUACUGUCUUUAUUAUUAUUAUUAUUAUUAUUAUUAUUAUUAUUACAGGUCUCUCUGCACCCGAACCAGCAGGUUCAGAGGAAGCUUCUUUUCUGUGGCUGUCACCCGACUGGACUGUAGCUCUGUAUCCCGUGGUGUAUACUACGAAUCUCGAUUAGUCGGUUAGCGAGGUAUGUUGCGCUCAAAGCCAGGGUAUGCUGUGACACGAAAGUGGAUCUGUUUUAGUGUCGCUGUAUCACCAUGGUAUCUU